rnacentral:tRNA from 1 species
GGUUCUAUGGUGUAGUGGUUAGCACUCUGGACUUUGAAUCCAGCAACCUGGGACUCCCAGUAGGACCU